rnacentral:rRNA from 1 species
GACAGAGGGUGCAAACGUUGUUCGGAAUUACUGGGCGUAAAGCGCGUGUAGGCGGUUUGGUAAGUCGGGUGUGAAAGCCCGGGGCUCAACCCCGGAAGUGCAUUCGAUACUACCAUACUAGAGUACUGGAGAGGAUGGUGGAACUCUCGGUGUAGAGGUGAAAUUCGUAGAUAUCGAGAAGAACACCGGUGGCGAAGGCGGCCAUCUGGACAGAUACUGACGCUGAGACGCGAAAGCGUGGGGAGCAAACAGG